ACCUAUUCUCGAACUCCGAACGGGCAAGGAGCCGGGGUCGCCCGAUCGGACCCCGGACGUGAAGUCGACGAUGGUCGGUGGGCUGGUUUUGGUUAAGCAGAACGGGCGGAUUCGGGAUGAACCGGAAGCGGGGAGAAAGGGCCCGAGAUUGCGUCGACGCGGAUCCCGAAAAGGGCGUCGAUCCGUCGCGACAGCGGGACGGUGGCCAUGGAAGUCGGAACCCGCUAAGGAGUGUGUAACAACUCACCUGCCGAAUGAACUAGCCCUGAAAAUGGAUGGCGCUUAAAGCGUAUAACUUAUACUUAACCCUUACUUGAAUUAUAAUAGCGAGUAAAGGAGUAGGAGGGCGUAAAAGUUUCUAUUAUAAUGGCUGUUAAGCAUCUAAGCGUAAGCUUAUGUGGAGCAAACUUUAGUGUAGAUCUUGGUGGUAGUAGCAAAUAUUCAAAUGAGAACUUUG
rnacentral:rRNA from 1 species